rnacentral:rRNA from 1 species
GACGAACGCUGGCGGCGUGCCUAAUACAUGCAAGUUGAGCGAUGAAGCUUGGUGCUUGCACCAAUUUGAAGAGCAGCGAACGGGUGAGUAACGCGUGGGGAAUCUGCCUUUGAGCGGGGGACAACAUUUGGAAACGAAUGCUAAUACCGCAUAACAACUUUAAACAUAAGUUUUAAGUUUGAAAGAUGCAAUUGCAUCACUCAAAGAUGAUCCCGCGUUGUAUUAGCUAGUUGGUGAGGUAAAGGCUCACCAAGGCGAUGAUACAUAGCCGACCUGAGAGGGUGAUCGGCCACAUUGGGACGGAGACACGGCCCAAACUCCUACGGGAGGCAGCAGUAGGGAAACGUCGGCAAUGGACGAAAGUCUGACCGAGAAACGCCGAGUGAGUGAAGAAGGUUUUCGGAUCGUAAAACUCUGUUGGUAGAGAAGAACGUUGGUGAGAGUGGAAAGCUCAUCAAGUGACGGUAACUACCCAGAAAGGGACGGCUAACUACGUG